AUACGGAGGGGGUUAGCGUUGUUCGGAAUUACGGGGCGUAAAGCGCACGUAGGCGGACUGGAAAGUUGGGGGUGAAAUCCCGGGGCUCAACCCCGGAACUGCCUCCAAAACUUCCAAUCUAGAGAUCGAGAGAGGUGAGUGGAAUUCCAAGUGUAGAGGUGAAAUUCGUAGAUAUUUGGAGGAACACCAGUGGCGAAGGCGGCUCACUGGCUCGAUACUGACGCUGAGGUGCGAAAGCGUGGGGAGCAAACAGGAUUAGAAACCCUUGUAGUCC
rnacentral:rRNA from 1 species